UGAGAAUAAUUGCUGGGGCUAUGCGU
rnacentral:sRNA from 1 species